rnacentral:misc_RNA from 1 species
AACAAGGCGUACCUGCGGACCUGCGGAGGGAUCAUUACAAGUGACCCCGGUCUAACCACCGGGAUGUUCAUAACCCUUUGUUGUCCGACUCUGUUGCCUCCGGGGCGACCCUGCCUUCGGGCGGGGGCUCCGGGUGGACACUUCAAACUCUUGCGUAACUUUGUAGUCUGAGUAAACUUAAUUAAUAAAUUAAAACUUUUAACAACGGAUCU